UUAGAAGAUCAAAGACCGCCAGAGGGUUCCUUGAGGCGAGAUCUCCAUUUCUAAACAAUUGAUUUCAGCUAUAGAGAGCAAAUAAAGAUCUUGGAGUUGUAGGAGAAAUUUUAAAGUUAUUGGAACUGUCGGAGCGUCAACCAGAGGGAUGAGACAUAUAGUGAGAGUAGUAGGAAGUCCUCUUCUAUGGGCUUUACCUUGGCCAAAGACAUUACCAAAGGGC
rnacentral:sRNA from 1 species